UACGUAGGGUGCAAGCGUUAAUCGGAAUUACUGGGCGUAAAGCGUGCGCAGGCGGUUCGCUAAGACAGAUGUGAAAUCCCCGGGCUUAACCUGAGAACUGCAUUUGUGACUGGCGGGCUAGAGUAUGGCAGAGGGGGGUAGAAUUCCACGUGUAGCAGUGAAAUGCGUAGAGAUGUGGAGGAAUACCGAUGGCGAAGGCAGCCCCCUGGGCCAAUACUGACGCUCAUGCACGAAAGCGUGGGGAGCAAACAGG
rnacentral:rRNA from 1 species